UUGCCAUGAUGAGUUACAUAAUUAUUGAUAGAAUCUAUGAGAGUAUAAUUUAUGAGCUUUUUAACACUGAGCAAU
rnacentral:snoRNA from 2 species